rnacentral:snRNA from 1 species
AUGCUCGCUUUGGCAGCAUAUAUACUAAAAUUGGAAUGAUACAGAGAAGAUUAGCAUGGCCCCUGUGCAAGGAUGACAUGCAAAUUUGUGAAGCGUUCCAUAUUUUU